AUGCAUGUGUAAGUACAAGCUUUAUUAACAGUGAAACCGCGAAUGGCUCAUUAGAUCAGUUAAUAUUUAUUGGAUCGUAGAAUGUUACUUGGAUAACUGUGGUAAUUCUAGAGCUAAUACACGUGAGCAAGCUUCGACCCUCGGGGGGAAGAGCGCUUUUAUUAGAUCAAAACCAAUGCGGUGAGCAAUUGCCGCUCUGACUGGUGAAUCUGGAUAACUUUGGGCUGAUCGCACGGCCUCGAGCCGGCGACGUAUCUUUCAAAUGUCUGCCCUAUCAAGUUUCGAAGGUAAUCGAUAUGCUUACCUUGCUGUUUACGGGUAACGGGGAAUCAGGGUUCGAUUCCGGAGAGGGAGCAUGAGAAACGGCUACACA
rnacentral:rRNA from 1 species